rnacentral:rRNA from 1 species
AUUGAACGCUGGCGGCAGGCCGAACACAUGCAAGUCGAGCGAGGGGCGGACGGGUGAGUAAUGCCUGGGAAUUGCCCAGUCGAGGGGGAUAACAGUUGGAAACGACUGGUAAUACCGCAUAGGGAUGGCUUGCCCGGGUGAGUUUAGCUAGUAGGUGAGGUAAUGGAUCACCAGGGCGACGAUCACGAGAUGGUCUGAGAGGUUGAUCAGCCACUCUGGAACUGAGACCCGGUCCAGACUCCUACGGGAGGCAGCAGUGGGGAAUAGUGCUAAAUGGGGGAAAUCCUGAUGCAGCCAUGCCGCGUGUGUGAAGAAUGCCUUCGCGUUGUAAAGCACUUUCAGCGAGGAGGCGUUACUUGCAGAAGAAGCACCGGCUAACUCCGUGCCAGCAGCCGCGGUAAUUC